CAGGAGGCAGCUUAACCUAUGCAAUACAACGAAAAUAUGGUAGAUGGCCAACUCCUUUGGGAGCAGAGGGUCGCAGGUUCGAAUCCUGUCUCCCCGACCA
rnacentral:tRNA from 1 species